UACGUAGGGUGCAGGCGUUAAUCGGAAUUACUGGGCGUAAAGCGUGCGCAGGCGGUCUUUUAAGUCAGAUGUGAAAUCCCCGGGCUUAACCUGGGAACUGCGUUUGAAACUGAAAGGCUAGAGUGUGGCAGAGGGGGAUGGAAUUCCGCGUGUAGCAGUGAAAUGCGUAGAUAUGCGGAGGAACACCGAUGGCGAAGGCAAUCCCCUGGGCCUGCACUGACGCUCAUGCACGAAAGCGUGGGGAGCAAACAGG
rnacentral:rRNA from 1 species